rnacentral:rRNA from 1 species
CCAACAGGGAUUCCCUUAGUAAGUGCGACUGAAACGGGAGGAGCCCAGCGCAUAAUCUUGUGCAAGAGGUGUUGCGUUUCAGAUUGUUUAACAUGGUUGUUAACUGUUAAGUUUGCGCUUGAACGCAUCUAACAAUUACCAUGGAGGGUGAAAGUCCCGUGUGGCAGCCCGCGAGGGGAUAUGGAACGAUAGUGACAUUCUGUAGAGUCAGGUUGUUUGAAAGUGCAACCUAAAGAGGUGGUAGACUCCAUCUAAGGCUAAAUAUUACCACGAGA